rnacentral:rRNA from 1 species
UACGGAGGGAGCUAGCGUUGUUCGGAAUUACUGGGCGUAAAGCGCACGUAGGCGGCUAUUCAAGUCGGGGGUGAAAGCCCGGGGCUCAACCCCGGAACUGCCUUCGAAACUAGAUAGCUAGAAUCUUGGAGAGGUCAGUGGAAUUCCGAGUGUAGAGGUGAAAUUCGUAGAUAUUCGGAAGAACACCAGUGGCGAAGGCGACUGACUGGACAAGUAUUGACGCUGAGGUGCGAAAGCGUGGGGAGCAAACAGG